rnacentral:rRNA from 1 species
AGUGAACGCUGGCGGUAGGCCUAACACAUGCAAGUCGAACGGCAGCACAGUAAGAGCUUGCUCUUACGGGUGGCGAGUGGCGGACGGGUGAGGAAUACAUCGGAAUCUACUUUUUCGUGGGGGAUAACGUAGGGAAACUUACGCUAAUACCGCAUACGACCUACGGGUGAAAGCAGGGGAUCUUCGGACCUUGCGCGAUUGAAUGAGCCGAUGCCGGAUUAGCUAGUUGGCGGGGUAAAGGCCCACCAAGGCGACGAUCCGUAGCUGGUCUGAGAGGAUGAUCGGCCACACUGGAACUGAGACACGGUCCAGACUCCUACGGGAGGCAGCAGUGGGGAAUAUUGGACAAUGGGCGCAAGCCUGACGCAGCCAUACCGCGUGGGUGAAGAAGGCCUUCGGGUCGUAAAGCCCUUUUGUUGGGAAAGAAAAGCAGCAGGUUAAUCCCCCGAUGUUCUGACGGUACCCAAAGAAUAAGCACCGGCUAACUUCGUG